GUGAGGAAUAUUGCGCAAUGGAGGCAACUCUGACGCAGCCAUGCCGCGUGCAGGAAGAAGGCGCUACGCGUUGUAAACUGCUUUUAACCGGGAAGAAACCCCAGGACGUGUCCUGGGUUGACGGUACCGGAGGAAUAAGCACCGGCUAACUUCGUGCCAGCAGCCGCGGUAAUACGAAGGGUGCAAGCGUUAUCCGGAUUCAUUGGGUUUAAAGGGUGCGUAGGCGGAGCGUUAAGUCAGUGGUGAAAUCCUGCAGCUUAACUGUGGACUUGCCAUUGAUACGGGCGCUCUUGAUUGCGCUUGAAGUGGGCGGAAUGUGCCGUGUAGCGGUGAAAUGCUUAGAUAUGGCACAGAACACCAAUUGCGAAGGCAGCUCACUAAGGCGAUACUGACGCUGAGGCACGAAAGCGUGGGGAUCGAACAGGAUUAGAUACCCGGGUAGUCC
rnacentral:rRNA from 1 species